GGUUGUGGCUCAGUGGUAGAGCACUUGCCUAGCAUGUGUGAGGCACUGGUUUCGAUCCCUGGCACCA
rnacentral:tRNA from 1 species